rnacentral:rRNA from 1 species
AGUGAACGCUGGCGGUAGGCCUAACACAUGCAAGUCGAACGGCAGCACAGUAAGAGCUUGCUCUUACGGGUGGCGAGUGGCGGACGGGUGAGGAAUACAUCGGAAUCUACUUUUUCGUGGGGGAUAACGUAGGGAAACUUACGCUAAUACUGCAUACGACCUACGGGUGAAAGCAGGGGAUCUUCGGACCUUGCGCGAUUGAAUGAGCCGAUGUCGGAUUAGCUAGUUGGCGGGGUAAAGGCCCACCAAGGCGACGAUCCGUAGCUGGUCUGAGAGGAUGAUCAGCCACACUGGAACUGAGACACGGUCCAGACUCCUACGGGAGGCAGCAGUGGGGAAUAUUGGACAAUGGGCGCAAGCCUGAUCCAGCCAUACCGCGUGGGUGAAGAAGGCCUUCGGGUUGUAAAGCCCUUUUGUUGGGAAAGAAAAGCAGCAGGUUAAUACCCCGCUGUUCUGACGGUACCCAAAGAAUAAGCACCGGCUAACUUUGUG